AGGAAAUCUAUGGAGAAUCGACUUUCCGAUCAGGAAUGGAUUGAUCCGAUUUGUGUGCAUUGAGACAUUGGAGCGGGACUUGUAUAUCAAUUCCCAGAGAAACAGUUUUCAAACUGAUGGCAUUAUCUUACUUGUUGAUGCAUUAAAUGCAUCCACAUGUAAACUAGCUCGUGAUUUAUACCACAAAGCCUUUUUGAGCAUCGGGUCAGACACGUCGAAACCAAUUGUCCUAGCAUGCAACAAGCCCGAGACACAUCCAAAAAAGCAUGUCAACUCACGACCAAAAAUUGAUGUUGUGGUCAAGAUUCCUAGCUACUAUAUUUCUGCAAAGAACCAUGUUGAUACCAGAAAACCAUUUCUGGGGAUAGCAAAAGCGAUUGGUUUGAAGCUGGGAGUUCUUGCACAAUGGGAUUUAGAUUCAGAUGCGGGUUAGGCCUUCUUCAUAUGGAAAUUGUUCAGGAGAUAAACAGCCUACACUGAAAGCAUUGGAUUCUAUAAAAUGGGCUACGGAACUACGUAUAUCUACUUUUGCAUUUUCUUGGUACUCGUGUCAGGGGAAUCGAAGACUGCAGUACUGAUGUAAUUGCUAAUAAACUUGCUAGGUUUUCUAAAAGGAGUGAAUUAGGAUAUGAUGGUAUAUUCUGACUUUCGUAAACAUAUUAGUUUAUCUUUCUGUCAAAUAUAUUGGCAGGUUGGUUUAGCCUUGUUUUUUUAUUGGAUUUGUCAGUAAUGAAGGAUUGUUAGGAUGA